rnacentral:rRNA from 1 species
GACAGAGGGUGCAAACGUUGUUCGGAUUUACUGGGCGUAAAGCGCGUGUAGGCGGCUUGGCAAGUCGGAUGUGAAAGCCCACGGCUCAACCGUGGAAGCGCAUCCGAAACUGCUUCGCUCGAGUCUCGGAGAGGAAGGUGGAAUGCUUGGUGUAGAGGUGAAAUUCGUAGAUAUCAAGCAGAACACCUGCGGCGAAGGCGGCCUUCUGGACAGACACCGACGCUGAGGCACGAAAGCUAGGGGAGCAAACAGG